AUUCAGCUUCAAGAGCCUUCUAUUUAUCAAAAUCUAUUAAUUUGACCACACUGUUGGUACUGCUGAUACAUUUGUUUUUAUAAGGUAAGAACAUUUUGAGAUUGUCAAACUGUUAAUCAGCCAUAGAAAAAAAAACAAAAAAAAAACAAGUGAACGAAUUGACAAAAUUAAUGAAACGUACAUUUACAGGCAGUAACAUUUUCUGAUGUGAUGUACUUACUUUACUGAGAUUUAAGUACAUCAAAUGUCAAAUGAAUCCGUUAAGCUGGGGUCACACAUUCACGAUUUUUACUGCCGUCCUUGACAGGACCAUUCCGAUUAAAUUUGUCAAAAGUCUGUCAGUCUGUGAAUCGUGAUGGAAUUGAUUUGUAUCUUUCGCCAGGUAAAUUCGACGAGUCUGUCACGACUGUGUCCCGAUUCUACCGAAUGUAAUCCGACAGAAAUAGAUAGUGACAAGACAGUGAACCGACGCUACGGAAGUUAUCCGUUCGAAAACUGUCGCAUAAUCGGCGAAGAUCAGGUACUGUCGAAGUAAUCCUAUCACGGUCCGCUUAUCGCAUUGCAACGCUUGUCUGGUCUCGUCGUAUUGUAUCUGUUAUUGUCGGGACUUCUCCAGAUCAUUCCCGUUCCACAGACACCGUCCCGAAUACACAGAACAUUGUUAGGAAUUCGAUCCGAUACAGAGAAUCUGUCACGACAUAGGCACGAUGUAAUCCACUAGAACAAAUCGGCUGAGUUUCCCGAAUGUUACGGACGCCACCUAACUGUCGGGGUGCUUUGCGGAACUAUUCAGACCCUUCCCGACCAGUAGGAUUGUUACGAACUAAAAACUGCGUUCAGCAUAAAUAGGACUUCCAGAAUAAUUGAGGAUCUAAUCCGACUUUUCACUUCAUGUCGUAUCGCUGUCUGAUCUCAAACGGGAGCAAUAAUCGGCAAUGUGUGAACCCCGCAUUAAAUACAUAUCAGGCUAAGUUAACGGGUCGUGGUGUCGCACAUGAACCUUUUCUCAACUGGAAGAUACCCAUUAUAUAAAGGAAUCAAAGUUGAAUUCAGGUGAUAAAAUCGCGAACAAGUCUUAUUUAAAUCAGCAACGACAGCUUACACUCGGGCACAAUAAUAUAUGAAAAAAAACGGCUUACCAUUAAGUUUUUAAGCAAUAUGCACUGCAAAAAUUACGUGACAUCAGAUUUUACAAGACGAAAUGUGUGUCCUUCUGCUAAUGCAAACCGUAUCAUUUCACAGGAGAUUAAUCGAAUAUGUAAGUCUCAAAAUUGAGGAAAGGAUGUGAAGCGCCUAAGAAUAUAAAUAGGAAUUCAUUAUUAUAAUCAUUGAGACAAACCGACUCAAAAUAGAAUAGACACAUCGUUUUCGUCGAUGUAGAAUUGUGUAGUAACAAUAUGAGCUCAGGAUCAAAUCAUCGCAAGCUGAAAAUAGUAUGUGACAGUACCUAUGAAUACUCAACAAAGGUUGCUGAACUGUUACCUAAAACGAAAAAAGAUUCAUGGUAUGAGAGAUAAAUCUGUGAAUACCAAAAUGUACGAUACAAAAUGAGUUGAGACGGUAAAAUCCAAAAUUUAAAAAUUUAACAUUUAUGAUUAUUCUUUAAAUGCACACUAAGUAUGUAAAACUAUAUAUCUCAAUGGACAUUGACAAUUUGGUGAUGAUUUUAUUUUUCAGAAGUUUAUACAAAAUUCAUCACUACCGAAAUAAAACUCAAGAUAUCAAGAUGAUUGAGGGGUUCGGAACACUUUUUAUACUAACUGGAACAUUAGAUAUUUAUGUGAAUCCCAUCUAUAGAACUAAAAAAGUAUCAAUGAUUAAACAAUUGUCAUUCGUUGAUCUGAACAUACUCAGCUGUCUUAUAAAAUGGGCUUAGUUGUAUAUCAUAUAAUCACUUUGUUAAGUGUAAUUAAAUUUACAACUGUGUAGUUGAUAUAUAAAGCUAGAAAUAAUGAUCAUGUUCUUAUCUGCAUAUAAAGCACCAUGGAGCUUCACAAGUACAUUGCAUAUCUUGGAAAACUUGUUGAUUCACG
rnacentral:lncRNA from 1 species